UAUAAGAGCAUACGCGAAUGGAUUCGUUCCUCAAUAAGUAUUUGUUAUAACAAAUACAAAGAUACAACGUCCACUUUAUAAACGUUAUAGUUUACUAUCCUGUGGCGCUGCUCUUGGCGGUAAUCUAUUCUAGUGGUGAUUAUGUCGUCGCCGCCGCUGCUGCCGCAAGGAAAACCAGUGCAUCCUGAACGCUGCAUAUUUGCUUAGGUUUCUUUCAGCACCGCUUUUAGUUUUGCGCUUAUGCGGUGCAAAGCCGGUGACAACUGGCUGUCGGAGGAAAAUACUAGAAAAGCUGAAGCUUCGAAGACACCGAAACUCUAAACAACGAAGACAGAGCUGCUCUAUUCUAUCUACCGCUGCCGUCAUUAUCACCAAACUGCGCUAUUAAAUUGCAACGGAGAAAAUGUCAUUGUACACAAACAGCUACAGAGAUCAGCUCAUAAGACUAACAAGCCAGCAAUCGAUAACGUCGGAAGUAACCUUCUCUCACGUUCAAAUCCACCCUACUGCCUAAUUUUUUCGUUCGAUCCGUUUGGCGAACGACAGGCACCACACGAGUGUGGUCAGCUAAAGCACGCAAGGGACGAGAUAACACUUGCGACUGCCCAAGCAACUAGUGCUACGUUCUGCUAUAGGUGGACACCGUGUCCAACUUCGUCCGGAUCAUUGUCCAUGGCUGAACUAGGCUUCCGCCAAACCCCAGCUUCGUCGAACCCCGGAUCAAAACCCUUCUUCAGCGUAGCAUGAUCGCAUUAGGGGUGUACGUGUGACGUCCGCAUAUCUCAUUUGGUUGUACGUCGCCUCGCCCAGUCGCUAACCGCAUAUCACUGCUGCCUAUUCGGUUAUGGUUGGAGACAGGGCCCGCAUUCCGCCUACGGCGCUGCGGACAGAUCCAUGAACAGAUAGUCAGCUUUUUUUUUAUUUGUCGUUCUAAACAAGGGCACUUCAACGUCACAGACUGCACUACUACAACAGCUGCGGAGUGCUAAUAAGCCCAAUGGAUUGACAAAUCAAGCUAGCUAGAACGUUAAGUAAAAUGAUGGCAUUUCGUGAAUAAGCGUCACGAGCAGCUUCCUUGUUCGUCCCAACGCUGGAAACAAGUACGAUCAAAUUUUGUUCAACUUAGCUUCGCAGAUAUGCUCUACACACAGACUGAUACAGUGAUGCAUUGGCUAACGUCACUAUGAAAAGGAAAUCACAGGCUUGCAACGUUGUCCAUGGCUAAUGCUGCCGCCGUUGACAUCGUCCGAAUUACUGGACGCUACAACCGAUAUGCCGGCGAACAGAAGGACCAAGUAACCCUCGGACCCCGACACCCCAACAGGCCGAAACGACAACAACAGUGAGACUUAGUGCUGUGUUAACAAGCAUUAUUAGCAGGUCGUGUAGCUGGAAACACUAUCUUCUUUUGGGCACUCAUCUGAAACAGUAGGAGCAAAAGCAGCUGAUAGAAACUCGUUCAUGGUAACGCUAUGCCGCGUUAGAAGGGGCAACAAGCAACGGAUAAAAACAAUAUCGUAUUCUAACAUUA